rnacentral:misc_RNA from 1 species
AACUUAUUGAAAUUUCCUGAAUACAUUGCCAUAACUUUCAUGACUUCCACUAAAUGUAAACCACCACCAUUUUUUCACCAUAAAAUCGCAAGCCUCUCCAUUGAUUUUCAAGCUUUAUCGCCCUCCAAGAAUCUUCUCACAAAUGGAUUGCAGAUAAUUUGAAUUGAUAAGACAAUAUAUUUCAUGAUUCACGAAUACAACCUCUAAACAGCAGGAUAAAAGGAGGUGAGGGAGGAGGUCAGGAUGUUAAUGAAAUCAGUAACGUGCCUAUAUUUACAAUGCACAAAUUGUACGACCUCUGACAAAACAAAUGGACACAAUAAGGAUUUAGAAAUUAAAAAAAAAAAAAAUCUCCAGAUGAAGAUGAUCAGCCAUAUUCCGAUGUCCGAUAAGCACCAAAGGAGCAUGAGAAUUGUCAGCUUGAACUUACUGUGUUGUCACACUCUUCGCAAGAUUGCGAGGUUGGUCCACAUUGUAACCCUUUAGAACAGUGAGGUGAUAUGCCAGUAACUGCACCAGAAAGAGAACUAAACAUUUUAGCAAGGCACCCAGAAGUUGUCAACGUAAAACAAGUGAGACCCCAUGAGUGGUUGAGAAUUAAAUUCAGGCAAACAAAUCCAUAAAUUGCAAAUGUAGAAUGCCACAAGCAACAGAUUCUUGCCAAUAUUUUAAAAGGCAUUUUUGCAGCUUUUAUCCUUCACAAUUCACAAGCAUGUACUGUGGAGCAUCUCAUUGAUGCAAAACACUGAUAUCAUGUAAUCUUGUAUGUAAAGAUCACUGAGGAAUCUGCAAAAAUAUGAUUGAACUUAUUGAUGCCAUGACCCCAGUACCAAGGACACAAAACAGUGUUCCAUCAAAUCAUAAAUCAUACUAUCCACCAUAUCAAAUAUAUGAAUAUAUUGUAUGUUGUUGAUAGUUCCAAAUGGCUAAGAAGAAAGUAAUAGUAUCACUUUAUCUUUGACAUCAAUAUCCAUUUAAUAAAUGAUGACAGGGUGAUAUGUAUGAGUGCAUAUGAGUCCAUAUGUACAAAGCAAAAUAACAAUAGGAAUACCUGCAAUGGAACUAUAUUAACAACAGGUUGAAGACAAUCCUCAACCUGUGGAACUUCAAUUACUCGGCAGGAUUCCCCAGGAGACACAGAUGCAGCAUCACCUUUUGAACACAUCACUAUCAAGCGACCUUUACGAGCAUGAAGUUGCUGAAUGACUGACUGCUGUUUGCUGAAACAGGUAUCACGAGUUGCAAUGACAAUAAUUGGAAGAUUUUCAUCCACCAAUGCUAAAGGACCAUGUUUCAUUUCUCCAGCAAGCAUUCCUUCACUGUGCAUAAGUGCCACUUCCUUCACUUUCAGAGCACCCUCCAAAGCUGUUGCAUAGUUGUAUCCUCUCCCAAACACAAGAAGUGAUUGCUCAGCCAUUAAUAGCUUUGCAAGAUCCUUCAUCUCGUGGUCAAGCUUCAGAACCUCUCUGACUCUGUUUGGCAAGUCAAAUAGACCAUCUAUUAUAGCUUCUCUCCUUGCUUGACUAGAAAUAGCAUCGCCUCCAAUUGCUAGAGCUAACAUGGCCAUAACUACUAUUUGACUCGUGUAGGCCUUGGUACUCGCCACACCAAUUUCAGCCCCAGCAUUUAUAUGAACACCACAGUGUGUAUGCCUGGCUAUGGCACUACCAACAGUAUUUGUUAUGCCAACACACAAAGCCCCAUUUUCUAAAGCAUAUUCGAAAGCAAGUAGAGUAUCAGCAGUUUCACCAGACUGACUAACAAAAACAGCAGUAUCUUCUCUGUAUAUGGGCCCUUGCCUAUCCACCAGAUCACUUGCAAUUUCCAUAGUAACUGGGACACCUAUGUAUUAAUAUGCAAUAAUCCAGAAAAAAAAUGUAAAAUAGUCAGUACUAGGAUGGGGAAAAAAAAUUUUUGAAGCUGUCAAGCUGCUUUGUUUUACAACAAUCAAGAAGCACAAACCGGAAAGUUCUUCCAGGAUGGGUCUAGCAGCUAGAGCAGCAUUAUAACUUGUACCACAACCAACAAAAACAAUUCGACGGCUUCGUCGAAUUGUUUUAAGGUGAUCCUUGAGUCCACCUAACAGAACAGUCUUAGCUUUGCAGGAACCUCCACGUAUAAGCCUCCCCCUCAUGGUGGUGGUUAGAGAUUCUGGUUGUUCAUGAAUUUCUUUCUGCAUAUAGUGCUCAUAAUUUCCUUUAUUUAUUUGUUCUACUUCCAUCUCAAGAACUGAUAGUGCACGCUGGACUGAUGAAGGUCUGGAAUGGGCACCACUAUGUCUUCCCUUAUCAUUAUCAAACUUCAGAAUAGACACACUUCCAUCCUUAAGAUGAACCACUUCACCAUCCUCAAUCACCAAGACUCUUUUUGUGUGUUCAACAAUGGCAUUAGCAUCACUGGACAGAAAAAGUUCUUUAGAAUGGCCAUCCAUAGAGAGAAAUUUAGCAUCAUGAAAUGCUGAUCCACUGUUAAUAUCCUCAUUCAGCUCUUUCACACCCAAGAGCAAUGGACUUCCUCGUUUGCAUGCAAUUAACUCGUUUGGAUAAUGUCUGCUCUUAAAAAUAAGAGCAUAGGCUCCUUCAAGAUGCCUCAUGACUUCAAGCACAACUUGACUAAAUGUGACAGGCUGAGCUCCUGAAAUCCAUAUGUAAUGAGCAACAGCAUUAGCUUUAAAAGGAAAAUGCUAUAAUCAGGUUCAAACGCUUUUCAUCAAAAUAACGUAAAAUAAUAUAUUCAAAAGUAUGGACUCAGGCUUUUAACUGAAUACUUGUAUUCUAAUGGCAAAGCAAUUCAAGUAAUUCAAAAUACAUGAUAGGCUCUAGAGAUGAAACAAUAGAGCAAACUGUACUCUUUUGUCGUCCAUAGAAUAUACUAGGAUGCAAUUAUUAUGUUUUCCUGAAGAUUUGUUCUCAGUAAAAAUAUUAUGCAUUCUUCAGUUUUAAUAUGCAUGUUUUCAUUGCAAUUCUUUUCACAACCCAUAAAGAAUCAAGGUACAGAGCAGAUCAUACUACCAUAGAACUAAAGAAUAUCACUUUCUGGUAAAAUAGCAAGGAUGUUUACACCCUUCAGGUUCUUUUGCAUAAAAUGACAGGUAACCCUAUAUCCAUGUAGGAAAAUGCUUUAAUGAAGGUACAAAUGACUAUUUAUAUUCAUAUAUGAAACAUACCUUCACCCUCGUUGGCUUUGUCAAAAACAAAUUUGGCAAGCUUUGGAAUUACUUCUGUGUCAGUUUCAGAUUCAAAGGUGAACCCAUGACGAACUAGUGUUUCCUUUAAGACCUGAGGAUGAUAAUUACAAAAUAAGAAGUUUGGCAUAAGAGAAUAUUGAAAUACUGUUCACUUUGAGCAUCAACAUAAUCACAGAACUCAUUUAUAUUGUAAAAGAAUAAUAACAAAGAUAAAAAAAGGUUGGGGUAGCAGGUAGGAAUUAGGAAAAGAAGAAAACCAGCAAUUAAUAUGGCAAGUUCCAUGUACAAUUCAUCAUAAGUAAGCAUCUUAUUCCCAGUUAGCCCAACAUCAAAAGCUGCUUUAUUGUUAACAUUGACUAUAGAAGGGUGCAAUUUUAGAAAAGGUUGCAAUUUUAGAAAAGGUUGCUUUAAUCUCAAUAACACUAGUAAUUUUACAUCAGAUAAUUAUAAAGUUCAUACCUUUGCCUCAAAGUCAUCAAGCAGAGCAAGGAAACAAAGUGCUUACAGUCACAAUAGGCACCCCACAGCAGCAGUAAUCACAAAUCGAAAAGGGCAGGACCAAUACAACAAUUGCACUCCCCUCAUCUCUUUAUUGACUUUUUCAAUGAAGUAUUUUCUAUCUGAAUAACUUUUUCUAAAGUUCCAUUUAAAACAUGAAUAAUUAGUUUCAACUGUUUUGGACUUCUUAUCAUUUUAAUAGAAUUUGCCUAAACUGUUAGUUCUCCUGGGCUAAAACCGAAUCAACUCAGCUAGGAAUUCUUUUAUAUUGCGAGAUAUUAUAUAUGGAAAAACAUGUCUGAUGCAACUAUAUUAGUAAUCGGCAUAAAAACUCGUUCCCAUACCAAACUUAUUCCCCAAGUAUCAUCCCUAUGUAAAAGUAAACUAAUGACAUCAUAAACAUAUUCUUCCAUGCACCUUCAUUUUUACAUCAACAACAGUGCAAAACAUCAUUUUUUGCUGAUUCAUACAAAAUAACAAUCAGCCGUACAGGUUAGCCAAUAUUACAGACAAACUGAUAUGGGGUGUGUGUAUAUAUUAGCCUAGAUAAGAAGGAAUUGAUAUUGCCUUUGAAAUUUAAAGCAAACCUCAUAAUUAGUGACAACGCCAUUGUGAACAACCAAGAACUCAUUUCCAGCACCUGAUGUUUGGGGAUGACUAUUCCGUGGAGCUGGCUCUCCGUGAGUGGCCCACCGGGUGUGUGCUAUCCCAGCAUGAAUAGAAAAGGAUUCUUCCAAAUUUAAAUCAAUGGUAGCAACUU